UACGAAGGGUGCAAACGUUGCUCGGAAUUAUUGGGCGUAAAGCGCGCGCAGGCGGUCCUUUAAGUCUGAUGUGAAAGCCCACGGCUCAACCGUGGAGGGUCAUUGGAAACUGGGGGACUUGAGUGCAGAAGAGGAAAGCGGAAUUCCACGUGUAGCGGUGAAAUGCGUAGAGAUGUGGAGGAACACCAGUGGCGAAGGCGGCUUUCUGGUCUGUAACUGACGCUGAGGCGCGAAAGCGUGGGGAGCAAACAGG
rnacentral:rRNA from 1 species